rnacentral:rRNA from 1 species
GAGACAGUUCGGUCCCUAUCUGGUGUGGGCGUAGCAAAAUUGAAGGAAUCUGACCUUAGUACGAGAGGACCGGGUUGGAUCCACCUCUAGUGUACGAGUUGUCGCGCCAGCGGCAGCGCUCGGUAGCUAAGUGGAGCAUGGAUAAACGCUGAAUGCAUCUAAGCGUGAAGCCAGACCUAAGAUUAGUUUUGCCAGUGAGACUCGUGGAAGACCACCACGUUGAUAGGCUGGAGAUGUAAGCGCAGUAAUGUGCUUAGUUGACCAGUACUAAUUGUCCCAAGGCUUGACCAUAAAA